AGUAACAAUCCGGAAACGGGUAGCUAAUACCGCAUAGUUUUCUUGAUCGCAUAGAUUGAGAAAGGAAAGACGGCCUUUGUGCUGUCGCUUAUGGAUGGACCCGCGGCGUAUUAGUUAGUUGGUGAGGUAACGGCUCACCAAGACGAUGAUACGUAGCCGACCUGAGAGGGUGAUCGGCCACAUUCGGGACUGAGACACGGCCCAAACUCCUACGGGAGGCAGGCAGUAGGGAAUCUUCCGCAAUGGACGAAAGUCUGACGGAGCAACGCCGCGUGAGUGAAGAAGGUUUUUUCCGGAUCGUAAAACUCUGUUGUCAGAGAAGAACAAGUUGGAGAGUAACUGCUCCAGCCUUUGACGGUAUCUGACCAGAAAGCCACGGCUAACUACGUGCCAGCAGCUGC
rnacentral:rRNA from 1 species